UGUGGGGGCCCUUUCGGGAGGCAGCAGUGGGGAAUUUUGGACAAUGGGCGCAAGCCUGAUCCAGCAAUGCCGCGUGAGUGAAGAAGGCCUUCGGGUUGUAAAGCUCUUUUGUCAGGGAAGAAACGGCUGCGGCUAAUAUCUGCGGCUAAUGACGGUACCUGAAGAAUAAGCACCGGCUAACUACGUGCCAGCAGCCGCGGUAAUACGUAGGGUGCAAGCGUUAAUCGGAAUUACUGGGCGUAAAGCGUGCGCAGGCGGUUUUGUAAGUCUGACGUGAAAGCCCCGGGCUCAACCUGGGAAUUGCGUUGGAGACUGCAAGGCUUGAAUCUGGCAGAGGGGGGUAGAAUUCCACGUGUAGCAGUGAAAUGCGUAGAGAUGUGGAGGAACACCGAUGGCGAAGGCAGCCCCCUGGGUCAAGAUUGACGCUCAUGCACGAAAGCGUGGGGAGCAAACAGGAUUAGAUACCCUGGUAGUCCACGCCCUAAACGAUGUCUACUAGUUGUCGGGUUUUAAUUAACUUGGUAACGCAGCUAACGCGUGAAGUAGACCGCGUGGGAGAUC
rnacentral:rRNA from 1 species